GCUGGGCAUGGUGGUGCAAGUCUGUAAUCCUAGUGACUAGGGAGGCUGAAGCAGGAGGAUUGCAAGUUUGAGGCCAGCCUUAGCAACUUAGCAAGAUCUUGUCUCAA
rnacentral:sRNA from 1 species